AGUGAACGCUGGCGGUAGGCCUAACACAUGCAAGUCGAACGGCAGCACAGCAGUAGCAAUACUGUGGGUGGCGAGUGGCGGACGGGUGAGGAAUACAUCGGAAUCUGCCUUUUCGUGGGGGAUAACGUAGGGAAACUUACGCUAAUACCGCAUACGACCUUAGGGUGAAAGUAGGGGAUCGCAAGACCUUACGCGGAUAGAUGAGCCGAUGUCGGAUUAGCUAGNGGCGGGGUAAAGGCCCACCAAGGCUACGAUCCGUAGCUGGUCUGAGAGGAUGAUCAGCCACACUGGAACUGAGACACGGUCCAGACUCCUACGGGAGGCAGCAGUGGGGAAUAUUGGACAAUGGGCGCAAG
rnacentral:rRNA from 1 species